UCCCAGACUCCUACGGGAGGCAGCAGUGAGGGAUAUUGGGCAAUGGGGGAAACCCUGACCCAGCGACGCCGCGUGAGGGAAGACGGUCUUCGGAUUGUAAACCUCUGUCUUUGGGGACGAAAAAGGACGGUACCCAAGGAGGAAGCUCUGGCUAACUACGUGCCAGCAGCCGCGGUAAUACGUAGGGAGCGAGCGUUGUCCGGAAUUACUGGGUGUAAAGGGUGCGUAGGCGGCAUAAUAAGUUAGAAGUGAAAUACCCAGAGCUUAACUCGGGUGCUGCUUCUAAGACUGUUGAGCUUGAGUGCGGGAGAGGUUAAUGGAAUUCCUAGUGUAGCGGUGGAAUGCGUAGAUAUUAGGAGGAACACCAGAGGCGAAGGCGAUUAACUGGACCGUAACUGACGCUGAGGCACGAAAGUGUGGGUAGCAAACAGGAUUAGAUACCCCAGUAA
rnacentral:rRNA from 1 species